rnacentral:tRNA from 1 species
UCACGGUGGCCAGGGCCAGGUCAGCGGCUCCCAGGGCCGCGAGCAACGGCGCCCGCAGUUCUUCGAUGUUCGGAUUGUCAGCCAUGGU